GCCUUGGCAGUUAGCUCCUUGUGCUUCCUUUUGGCCAGCCAUGUGGGCAGAUUGCAGCCUGGCCCUGGCGGGGGUGGGGUGUGAUGGGGGCAGGAACUGCAGGGCUCCCCAUUGCCCCGCCCCCUCUGCUGCUGUUUUCUGGCUCCUCUGCAGGGGAGGUGUGGCCACAAGGCAAUGUCCAGAGUGCUCCUGGGCACCCUGCUUAGGAAGCUGAGAUUUGAUAACCUACAGAGAAGAAUCCAGCUGACGAGGCCAGCUGCUCCCACACCUGCGUGACAUAGUGAGGCUACGAUAAGGGUCUGUCUAAAGGGUCUGUCUGGCCUCAGACAGAGGGCCUGGAAGCACUGGAAAGAAGUUGCAGAGAUGCAGAUUUUGAAAAUUUCCUACAUAUUAGACCUGGUCAAAAGCGGAAUGGGAAUCCAUGAGAGCAAACAGCUGAGAUGUCGGUGCGCAGGGUUAAACAUACAGAGAUGAAGAAUGACAUGUUUUCCACCUUCAAGUGGUUUAACUGAAUGUGGGGAAGUGACAGGGGAGGACAAGGCCUGGACCCAGAGAAGCCUGUUACAUUGGAGGCAAAUUGAACUGUGGGGUAAGGACAUUGUGAGAAGGCAUUGGAAGGCCUUUCUGCUGCAGCUGUGGGCACAAGAAUCCUUAUAAAACUGAGUUACCAGAACAGCCCAGAGAUCUGCCCAUGCCCACCCAGCCCACCCAGCUUCGACCUCGGCCCUGUGCAGGUAUGGGCACAAGGCUGGAGAGCAAUGGGAGACAAACCUUUCCAUGAGAAGACACUCUUCCUGUUGAGUUUGAAGGGAAUUUAGUAUGAACAAGCCAUUCUUUGCCACCCCCCCCAUUAUUUCUUAUAAUGUGAUUGAUUUGAAAAAUAAAACUGUAAUGUCAAAAAAGAAGGGGAAAGAAAAGGGGGGGACCUGAGGUUCAAUCCAGGUGUUACUUCCUUUAAAAAACAUUAUGGAUAUCCUUUGUUUUCCACAUCACCUUCUUUUCUAAUCCCUGUCCUAUUCUGUCUCUUCCUGUCCCCCUACCUGGUGAGCCAUCCCCAGGAAUUGCUGAAGCAAAUAAAGUGAGCCCCUCAACUUUGCGUUUCAUGAUCAGAUCUAUUAGAAACAGUGUCAUCAUUUAUUCUACAAGGGAGGUGUUGGAGAUAGUUGCCUGAUCAAGGGAUCCCUCCCUAUUGACCACAUAUCGCAAGGAAGGCUGGGUCUUCUGUGUUCUGGUGGAAAUGUGUGCAGAAAAAUUUUAGAAAUGACCAAAUCGUACAAUGUUUCCAUUAAAGUUACAAGCUGAGAACAGCAUGUUUAACUAACAGAAAAGGAAAACAGGAAAAAGAUACAGUUUGUGGUAUUAGAUUGGGAUAGUAUCAUUU